GUUGGUGACUCUCGCGGCGGGGGUCCACCCGGUUCCAUCCCGAACCCGGCAGUUAAGCCCGCCCGCGCCGAUGAUACUGCCGCCGCAGGGCGGUGGGAACGUAGGUCGUUGCCAACC
rnacentral:rRNA from 1 species